rnacentral:lncRNA from 1 species
AAAGCGUCCAUCUAUGACCAACUCGUAAUUUAUGUUUUUAGAGGUAUCACAACUUUAGUUGGGAUUAGUCACUAUCUUGCAACCUUUUGGGUUUUAAGCAUCAUUGUAUUCUAAACAGUUAACACUACCAUAUCAUCUCUACUAUAGAGAUAAUUAAUUAGAUUACAAUAAUCUAAUCAUUGAUUAAUAAAGAACAAUGUUUUGUCAAACAAAACAUUUAUCCAUUUCACUAUAGUGACGGAAUUUAGUUCCUUAAAAUUGGAAUAUAAAGACAAUCUAUGUUUUUCCAA